UUUAUUUCAUUAAAAUCUCCGUCGCUUUUCCAUUUGGUUUGAAUGAGAAGGUCUGCCCCUUCCUCCUGUGCGGAGGGGUAGGGAUGGUGAGCAAACGAUGAAACCCACCCUCCACAUAGUGCUGAGCCCCCCCAAGCCUCCCCCUUCACUUCGUGCUGGGGCGCUGGCUCGGAUGUCCACAUUUCCAUUGACUGCCUGAGCCCUCUCCCUUCCUGAGAGCUUGCUCCAGUGCCCCAGUCCGCCACCCGGGGAAUACAAAUGCUGCCUUCAAGGCCGCGUGCACUUCUCCUGCCCCCACACCUUGUUUUCCAUUAAAAGCAGAGAUUAAUUUCUGACUUCAUUGGUUGGAAAAGCACCAAGGAAGGAAAAAUGGAGCAGACCGCGGGGGAAGGAGAAGCAGGAGAGGACAACCAGGGCCGGCACCAGCUCUGCCCCAAGCAGGGCACAGCUUGCAUGGGGCUGGCCGUGGGGCGCAUGGGGGCCCCCAAAACCUGCCACGUGGGGUACAAACCCCACCUCAUGCCCUAGCCUGGCUGAGGCUGAGCUGCAGCAUCCUCCCACCCCUUCUCCCAUCCCACAGCAGCCCAGGAUGGGGAGAAACCUUCGUUUCCCUCCAUCGGCUUCCCCGCACGGCUGACACCGCCGAUUGCUAUGGAAACCUGGGGGAUGCAGAGAAGGGGCACCCGCUGCUCCCCGGCAGCAGGAAGGGGCUGCGGAGAAAGGGGGUGAUGUGGUGAGGGGGGGUGCCUCUGCGGGGCUGAGCCCAGAGCCAAGCUGCUGUGUGGAGGCGGAGGGCUCCUGGCUCGCCCUCCCCAUCCCGGGUGGUUUGGAGGUGCUGGUUGCUGCCUCCCAUCCGUCCUGUGCUUUCCCUCUCUCUCUGCAUCAGUUGUGACAAGAGCUCCAGGCAGAAAAGCACCUCCCUCGCCAGCUGGGGACUGUUGCCAGAUUUCGGCUCCUCCAGCCUUUCUUCCCCCAGCAAUGCACAGAGGUUUUUUCUUCCUACGUGCAGCUCAAAGGCUCUUCUGUUUCACUUUCUUGUGAGGACUAUCAAAGCGCUCACAGACAUUUUUUUUAUGUUUAGCAGCUUUUGAGAGGGGUCCCAGCACAGGUGAACCACUCUCACCAGGCACAGGCUCUGCUUCCCCCCACACAAGCACUGCAAAUUGAAAGGCAGCCAGAGGGAGAAAGUCCCCUAAUUAGAGACCCAGGGCCCCCUUCCCUUCUCCCCCUGUCCAACCCCAGCAAAAGGCCAGGAGCAUCCCCCCGGGGCACUGAAAUCAGCUGCUGCUGCUGACACCUCCCUUGGCUAGGCUCACACUCCUCCUGGCAGCUCCACAGACAUUUGAGGAAAACGUGUGCAACUUUCUUUUGCAGAGACCGAAUCAGUUUUAUCUGCCCUAGCUGUGUUCGCAGCCCUCUUUCCUCGGGGCAUCUCUCCGUUGUGAAGGGAGGAAGGCUCCCGCCACAGGACGUGCUCUUAUCUCUGUAUUGCAGGUCAUGAAGUGGCGUGAGCGAAGGCUGUGAGCAAGCCGGAGAUACUAAAACGAGGCUGUCUUUGUAGGCACUCUCUGAAACGGGGCAACAGCACGGCAUAUACCGGGAUUGUCAGCCAGGAACACAUCAGAGAGGCACACACAAAGGGAGCGUUGGGCUUUUAAGGAUGUCUGAAUGCUUUCUCCUGCUUCUCCCCCACUCUGUUUCAUCUGGGGUAAAUUCAUAAAGAAUGAAUCCUUUCCGGUGCCGCCAGCUCUGUCCAGCUGGGGCAGGGAAGGUGCAGGAGCCCAAGUGAUGGACGCGUGCUGCCUGCAGCCCUGGCUGCAGUGCCGUUUAGCAGCUCGGGAGGUGAGGGAUUCAGAGAGAGAGCUGCUCACCGGGACUCAGGACGGUGGUUUUGUUCAGGUGGCAGCAUAAAACGGGUGGGUGUCGCUUUGAGUCUUCCCAGAGUCCUGGCUGGACUGUGACAACUCACGCACGGAAUUACAGAAGGAUGGAGGGAGAUCUAGAAAAUGCUCCUUGCUCGAGACGGGGCUUAGUUAGGCUCCUGUAAUUAACGACGGCGGCUCUCCUAAGAAAGAUUCCAGCUGCUUCGCUCGGCAGCCGGCUCCAUCAAUUUGCUCUCACGCAACCGACACGCACCAAAACUCAUUCCUGUGAGGAAAGGAAUAAGGAUGUAUAAAUCAAGUGCAUCUGGGAAGUGGGAGUGGGAGGGGAGGGAGCAGAGGGAGUGCAGACUCCAAAGGAAGCGACACAAAUCAGCGUCCCUGGGAGGAUGUGGUCACGUUCCUCCAGGCCAGAGAAGUUUGUAGGGUCACGGGAAGCGACCCCUACACACCUGAGCAUUACGUGAGGAGAGUAAGCUGUGCCCUCAUCUUGUCUCGAGAUGAAAAACUUCCUCAAUAAGCUGCUUUGCUGAACUACUUUGUUUGGAGCAGCCCUUCCCCAGGAAGCCCUUCCAGCCUGGCACUCCUAAUGGUCCCACCAGCCCUAUAAAUCUAUUGCACCCAGCACGGGGCGCUCCCGGCAGAGAAGACCAGCACCAUCCCCCUGCCAGGUUCUGCUCAGCUGGGCCCUGACCCUGCAGCACACCCAGACUUCCCAGGGGGAAAGUCUGCUUUGGGCAAAGAGGGACAGGGCACGUGCCUGCUGAGCUGUGUCCUUUCCCAGUUCCCUCCCCAGGCUGUUCCACCUCCUUGCUGCUUCAGAAAGCCAACGGUUUCUCACAGCUAUCAUCCGCUUGAUCUUCUGACCCUGUUGCUCCAUUCCGAGGCUGGAUCUUGUCAGCCCUGCUCUUCUCAGGGCUAUUCACCCUUCUCCCAUACCAGGUCCAUUUUCUCUUCGCUCUCUCACUGUGUUGGAGUUCGCUUUGAUUUGCAGACACAAUUUUCUCCCAUGUAAUUCAGCUCUGCCCUGUGAAUUGGCUUUUCGGUGAUACGUUUUUGCUUAGCUCGAAGAGGAUUAAGUAACUUCUUUCACCAUGGCAGUCCUAUUUCUGGCCCGUGCCUGUUAUCUGGGAACAUAGGGCUGCAGCAGCAGGGGAAGUGCUUUAUGAACGGGCCGAGGGAUCUGCCACACAGUUCCACUGCUCCCCACAAAGCUUGUGCAAGUGCUAGCAAAUAAAGCUCUGCUAACAAUAGCAUCUUCCCAUUAUUUCCACCUCUGUCACCAAAGCCAUUCCCUUUACCACGUGCUAUUAGCUCUUCCCUGCCCCUCAGUGAAAAGUUUCUAUAUUUAACAUGAAUCUACUGGGUCUGAAGUUUCCAGCAGGCAUGAGCGGGUAUGCAGAGAGCUAGGGGAAGCCUCCAACAUGGGCUGCCGGGAAGCACUGGCCAGGGCACGGCCAUCCUUGCUUGUGAGUUUGCUGUGCACAAGCUGUGUGCACCCUUGCACAGAGCUUGUGCAGCAAGCCUUCCUCCAUACCCUCCACUGCAGCACCUCACAGAGCCCAGCCUGCACUGCCUGGCAGUGGGAGCACAUCCUCCUGUGAACCAUGCAGGUUUUCCCAGUGCAAGCUGCAAAAGCCUCUGGAGUGAAGUAGCGCUGCCCUCAGCUCCUUGCUUCAGGGAGAUGCCCAUGGCUCAGGGACCGUUGCCCAUGUCUUCCAAGAAAAAGCUCCCAAACAAACCCUGGGGGUGCGUUGGGCAGUAGUUCUUCUGGGAUGAAAUCCUGCAAGUUCAGCAAUGGUCUCUGUUCUCCCCUUGAUGAGCCACCACGAACCUGGAUGACUGUGACAGCUCUUUGACACACGAGAACAGCACUUUAGCAGACUGUAGCAAGGAAAAGGACUGUGCUUGAGGAGCACUUGCCUCACCUGCCCUGUGCACCACCAUGCUAACUCCUGAGCGGACAGAACUCUGUCAUCCUCUGCUUCAGCAUCUGUGAAAGACCAGUGGGGCAGACAUGGAAGGAGAGCUCUACACAUCCUGUCCAUGAAUGACUCAAUUGCAUCAGGCUAGAACAGGGCAAGACACACGCUUUUUCCCUCAGUAACCAAGAUUAGACCAUGAAUAAGAGGAAUUAGCUAAAGGUCAAGCCAGCUAGAACAAGAAUAAUGAACACAGGCUUAAGGAACAGCUGUGUGCAAUUUCUCAAAGUACAGCAAAUUCUCUUUUUUUGACUCAGUAGCUGGGGGGGGCAGAGAUGUUAGCAGGGGCCAAGAGCUCUUCUGGCAGGGGGCUGCCAAAACCCAUCAGAGAGCAAACACCUGUUUUCUCUGCCUUGCACCCUCCAAGUCACACACAAAGGCAAUAAGCCUUGCCUUUGAUCCCUAGCUCUCUGAUGGUCACAGCCUCCUGGCGCAGGCCAUGCUGUCCCCCUUGCAAGAAGGUCGCUUGCUCCUGAGGUGAAGGUCAUGUUCCCUGGCGCCUCCAGUUCCAGAAGAUAAGGUCUAAGACUCUGAGGAGAAGUCUUUGUCAUUAACCCUUGGCCCUUCGGACCAGGAGGAGCUGGAACACGCCGACCUUUGGAACCCGCUGGAAAGUUCAAUUAACUUCAAGGGCCUUUUCUGGGAGCGCUCACUGAGGAAACAAAGAGCCCCGAGAAGUGCUGGAGCGCUGUCAUCAAAUCGUUCCUAACGUCCCUAUUUUUAGAAGGGUGAAGGAGAGAAGGGAGCUGAAGAGAGCACCUUGGAGCCCCAGCGCACGGCAUGGCGGCAGUGUCAUGGGCCUCUCUCAGCAGGCCCCAGGCCUGAAGCAGAGGGGGAAAGGGGCCUGUGGUGGUGGUGGCAGGGAUUUUAAUUUUUUAUUUUAAUUUUUUUUUUUUUUUUUAAAGAGAUGAAGCUCCACUUUCUCCACCCCACCCCCAUGGUCAGAAAAUGAGACCCACAGAUAGAGCUGGAGAUAAUGGCAGGUUGCCAUGGAAAUGUGCAUUUAGUCUCGCUGUUUCCAUGGCAACCGAAAAGACAUACCAUUCUGUUCCUCUGAAGGAUGCCAAAGGAAAUAUUAAGAGCCACACAAGCGACGGGAAGGCCAGCGGCAGCAAGCCCUGCGCACAAACUGCUCCCCGCAGAGCCAGGAAUCGCGGCCGUGGUUACUCCAGCUCGCGGCCGUGCCCAGCUUCAGCUGCCUCACCAUGGCACGUCUGUCCACGGCCCACCCCACGUCCAUGACCCAUGAGUUGUUUCCUGGGAGGAUAUAAAAAAAAAACAACGAACCAGUUGCGCUCUAACCCUGGAAGCCACACAGAGCAAACAUACCUCUGAGAACCUACCAAGAUCUAAACUGCACCAUUAAUCCUAUGCCUAGCCCCUAAUAGUGCGUGAUUCAAGGAUUCAUCCUCUUCAAAAGAUGAAAAAAAAAAAAGCAAUAAAAAAGAUUACCCAAAUGGAAGACUUUGAUGUGAUACAGGUGGCUGCACUUUAUUCUUGCCAAAGCUCUGUCUCCUUGAAUCAUGGCUCUCUCUCCACGCUGGCUGACAGUCGUAUCAAACAAACCAUUAUGCAAAGUUAUCCCUUCCUCUGCUGCCAAUCUCUCAGGCAGCCACGGCCUGUUCCAGAAGAGGACGGUGAACGCUGGGUGAGAGCUUAUGUUGGCAUGCAUGAAAGAGCAGGCAAAGGGGAUGAAGCAUCAAAAUGGUGCAGAUCCUAUCCCACACUGCUAACGAACCCAGCUGCUGCAUUCGUGGGAGGAAACAGCACGGUCAGUCCUUGAGCGUGUGUUGUAGCUAGAAGUACAAAUUGCUUGUUCUGAAUUCAGUGAGCUCCUCUGGCCAGUCCCAGCUAAGGGUGGGAUUUAAUAGUGGGGUUUCUACCACUCUGGUUUUUACUUCCCGCUGCCAGCAGAUGUUCAAAACGCUUGCAAGGCUGAAGGGAGUUGUGAUGCAAAAGCAGUUGUCUUCACAGUGUGGGACACAGACAAGAGAAGCUUUCUUUCAUGCACUUUUGCUUUCCUAUUAUUGCCUCCUCCACCAUUUAGUGAUUCCUCCCCCAAGUACUGGAUUCAGGCAAGCCCUAAGAAAGCAGGAAAUUAUACUACUGCGUGGGGGAGGCAGAAGCCCAACUGGGUGUCAUCAGGAGGGUAUGGGCUGCGGAGCCACCCACCCCAAAUGCUCUUUUUAGCAAGUAAUACCACACAGAAGUCCACCCAAGGUGAACAUGGCAUUCUCACACAUAUCCCUAAACCGCUCCUUUUCUUAAAAGGAGCAUGACAAAAGUCAGCUAUUUCUGUACCGCUUCCUGGAAGCCUGGAAGAGGGGCAGGUUACCCACAGUUUGUGACAGUAGCUACCUAGUUUUAAGAACAGAGUUGGAAUGCUGUUCUUAAACAGGCUGAGGAUGUGCUGGUCAUCUACCAACAACUCCCUGCACAGCUCUAACACGCCCUGACCAAAGCGGGAAUUUCUAUUCCACCUUCCCCUACCCACCUGUCAGUGACACUGAUGAUUGUGCCCUUUCCCUUGAAGUUUUAUCUUAACGUAGGUUUCCAUAAAUAUCUUGAUCAUUCAUUCCCUGUCAGGUGGGUGAACUGAGAGAAUCCUUCAUGUGGGAGCAGAGAAAGAUUUUCCACUGCGGUUUCUCAUUUGCAGUGAAGCAAAGGCAGCAUCUCCAGCUCCAUACUCCUGCCCUGUUCUCAGGGUUUCAGUGCAAGUCGCAGCCCAGUCAGAACUGAAUUCCUCUUCUAAUCCUCUGCAUCUUUUUCUUCAUACCACUGGUCUUGACCCACAGCCUAUAGUGUGGUGAUAACUUUGCCCCUUAAGGCUAUUAUUCAGGGUACAAACUUGGACAGUUUUUUGUUUGUGUUUCCCCUUCUGUAAGAGACAGGAUCCAGUCAUUUCUGCCUACACAGCCCAAAUUCAGCAGUGGCACUUUCACCCCGCUCUGCUAAUAUAUGACCCCUUUGCUGACUUCCUACACACAGAUAGAAGUUUCCAAUUUCUGAUGUACUGACACGCUUUUUUAGAGCCAGUGGGGUUCUGGAGACAACAGACAGCCCUUUGCAUCCAUUCCCUAUUGGGAACUGGAAGAGUAGUAGUUUUGGCCAGUAGAUUAUAGCUGCUUACAGGAAGCUGGAGGCCAAGGAGCAGCGUACUGUAGAGCUGGAACCUUUCCAGCUCCUAGCAGUUUCUCUGAUCUAAAGACGACACUGCUGCACAACUAGAACUCAGCUCCAGCCUGCCUCCAGAGCAGGCAGCUGCAAAGAAGCUUUUGCUCUUGCCUCGGUCCUGCAAGGAGCACAUCCCACCUCACUCCAGAUGCAAGUCUAAAUACCUGUACAUGCCCAGUGAAUCCCAAGGAGUAAGGGGUCCACCUAGUGCAGUUAGAGCAGUACUGCCAGAACCGCAGGCAGAGCAAGCCCUGCACACAAGCUUCCUGUGAGCCCAGAGACAGGCUGCUGGUUGACACUGGUGUGGACAAAAAGUCUCAUCCUCUGUAUAGUCCCCAGGAGGAAGGAGGUGGCAAGUUAUCUGAAAGUGGUGGCACCCCAUGUGGACAACACUUGUUUGAUUUACUUCAGCAGCGGGAGUGAGUAAAGGCAAGUGGCACCUGGUUAGGUUCAUCAGACAGCACAUUCACAUUUUGUAAGAACAAUAACCCAAGACUCAGGAGCUAAAGAGAGGUUUUCAUUUAGGAAAAAAAAAAAAAAAAAAAAAAAACUUGCUAGUUCCUGGUUUGCUUCCUUCCCUUCAGUACUCCUGCACUUACACUUCCCACAACAAAAAUGCCAAAAGAUACUCAACCAAGGUCAAAUUGUAUGAAAUGGAUCAAGAACUAGAUUAUGUACUCUCGGGUUCAGAAAGCAAUGCCUCCUGCCAUCUUUCAUUGCUCAGUUACCCCACCUGAAAGAAAUUAAGUUUAUUUAAUGUAUUCUACCUACAGAAGCCUUUAGGUCUUAUAGGUUCUUUCAAAGGCAUUUCAGGCAAACAUCCCAUUCAAGACUUGGGAGCUUGAGGGUAGGGCCCAGACAUCCUGCAGGGGUUUAGACAAGUCUUUUAAUCACAUCUUUUUACUCCCUAUUACAAAACGGGACAGUGCUACAUCCAGCUCUCUCUGAUAGGGAUACAACUACAUAGAACAUAGUCUUGUUGACUUCAAGAAAUGCAAGUCAAAAAGGCUAGACCAAAGGAACUGCUGCCCAACUGCAUUGAAAUGACAAAGCUGCAGCAGAUCACAAACGAACUCCAGUAACAUCUACAAAUGAAGCUAACACUGUCUGGCUAUAAACUGAGCACUAGAAAUCAGUAGGCAGACGUGUAGCAUAUGCACGCACUGCUGACUAGCUUAGGAAGGAAUCUGUUAAGCUCAACAACAACCACAAAAAUACCUGUGGCAGCCUCAAAAAGUUCAUGGCUUGCCACAAACAGCUUCCUUGAAACCAAAGUCACGCAGUGCUCCCUGACUCACGUGAAAGAAUCAAGUCGUUGACAAUUUGGUUCUGAUCGGAUAAAACAUAAGAGAGGGAACAAAAAUAGUUUCCCUAUCUCUCCUUUCACACAGAAGCAGAUGAAUCACUGUGAUUUAAAAGACAUCUAGUGGCAGAUAAAAAGCUACAGAAAACAAGUAAUCAAAAGGACGUUAUUCUGGAAACCUCUAGAUUUCCCAUUUUUAUUGGGGUUUCAUAAAGGGAAGGAGCUAUGUCAUUCUUUCAUAAGACCAGGCAGACAAGGCAGACAGAUUAAAUGGUGAAGCAAGUUUUUCUCAGACAACUUAGUCAAAAUGACUUGAGGACCCUUAAACAAUACUCAAGAACCUCCUCUGCCUGCGUCACCUAAACUGCCCUUCCUGCUGAGAAGGCAGUGGACCCACUAUGACACCUUAGAGUUUGUAUGACCUAAAAUUCCAAGUCAGGUUUAUGAACAGCCUAAAAUAGCACUGAGGGACGGAGGGCUACGUAUUUCAUUUAUACACACACACGCACCACCUUUUUUCUUUUCCUUUUUAAUAAAAGAAAUAAGCUAUUAACUCUUGCCACCUCAAUCUUUUAGUGUCACUUACUCUGAACAAGGCAAAACUUCAGUCCUAGGGACUGACAGCACCACUGUAGGUUCCUGGGACUGAGGCAAGUCUGCUGGGCAAAAGAAAAGCAAAGUGUCUGCAAAAGCCCACUGAAUGUUGGAGAGUGGACAACCAACAACACUGGCAGGUGUCAGCCCAAUUCAGCUGCAAAACAAUGAAUAAGCAGCAGAUGCUGGAACAAAUCCAGAUUCUACCCACUAGAAAUGCACAAGUAAUACCAAACAAUCUCAAAUGCUUUUUUUUUUUUUUUUUGGUAAGAA